rnacentral:rRNA from 1 species
UAAGCGGAGGAAAAGAAACUAACAAGGAUUCCCCUAGUAACUGCGAGUGAAGCGGGAAAAGCUCAAAUUUUGAAUCUGGCGGUCGUUUUGGUCGUCCGAGUUGUAAUCUAGAGAAGCGUCUUCCGCGCUGGACCGUGUACAAGUCUCCUGGAAGGGAGCGUCAUAGAGGGUGAGAAUCCCGUCUUUGACAUGGACUGCCAGUGCUAUGUGAUGCGCUCUCGACGAGUCGAGUUGUUUGGGAAUGCAGCUCAAAAUGGGUGGUAAAUUCCAUCUAAAGCUAAAUACAGGCGAGAGACCGAUAGCGAACAAGUACCGUGAGGGAAAGAUGAAAAGAACUUUGGAAAGAGAGUUAAACAGUACGUGAAAUUGCUGAAAGGGAAACGCUUGAUGUCAGUCGCGUCCUCCAGGGAUCAACCUUGCUUAAUCGCUGGGUGCAUUUCUUGGUUGGACGGGUCAGCAUCAGUUUCUGUCGUCGUAGAAUGGUCUAGGGAAUGUGGCACCUCUAGGGGUGUGUUAUAGCCCUGGGUCGUAUGCGUCGGUGGAGACUGAGGAACUCGGCACGACUCUUUCAUGGGAUUGUGUCUAGGAUGCUGGCAUAAUGGCCUUAAGCGACCCGUCUUGAAACACGGACCAAGGAGUCUAACAUGCCUGCGAGUGUUUGGGUGGUUAAAACUCGAGCGCGAAAUGAAAGUGAAAGUCGAGAUCUCUGUCAUGGAGAGCAUCGACGCCCGGACCAGAGUCUUUGACGAAGGAUCUGCGGUAGAGCAUGCAUGUUGGGACCCGAAAGAUGGUGAACUAUGCCUGAAUAGGGUGAAGCCAGAGGAAACUCUGGUGGAGGCUCGUAGCGAUUCUGACGUGCAAAUCGAUCGUCGAAUUUGGGU